GGAGAGAUGGCAGAGUGGACGAUUGUGCCUGACUCGAAAUCAGGUGUGGGGGUAACUCCACCGAGGGUUCGAAUCCCUCUCUCUCCGCCA
rnacentral:tRNA from 1 species